UAAAUAGUGGUGGCUAGCGGUCGAGUUCAUCGAGCUCACAUAUUAUUAUUAUUAUUUAUUAUCGCUGGUGGUUUGUAAUAUAGUAUUAUUUUGUUCAACUCGGCCGGCCGAGUGACCGGACGAACGGUGCGUUGUCUACUCGUACGCGUGACAUUAUUUUGGCCGCGUUCCAAAGAAGAUUAAGAAAAAAAUUAAUAAUAAACAACCCAGUAUAAAAUGUGAUGUAUAUAUACAGAGUGAACAAAAUAUAAAUUCGUUUCGUGCAUCGCGUAGUGUUCCGAAUAUUUUAUUCAAAUAAACACGAAGUAUAUAAAAGUGAUAUAAGUGGUACCUGUGAGUCUAGGAGUGGACUGUUAUAGUUUAGUGGCCUCUAUCGACGUAUGAACUGUGUUACCAUGUGCUACAGUUGUGUACACAUACGAGCUAGUCAUUCCUUGCCGGCGACUGCGAGUUAAAUAUAUAUACAAUAGAAAUCGUUCGUUUAUAAUGACAGUCAAAGGACCAAGGAAAAUAGAUUAUAAUAACCGUUUGUUAUUAUAACCAAAAUGAUGAAAAAAAUAAUUUAAUUUUAAUACAUAGGUAUAGAAAAAAAGUAAAGAUAAAAACAUUUAUUUAUUUUAAUGAAUUUAUUAAAUUUACAAUAUUUUGUUAAACGGAUUUGUUUUGUUAAAUUGAACUUUGUUUUUAUAAAAAUUAAGCUCUAUUUUUUUUCUAAUAAAGUUCUUCAAAAUUUGUUUUUUGACAAGAUUUUUCCAACAACCAAAAAUAACCGUCAUAACAUCUCUAUAGUUAUUAUAUACAGACGUCGUAAUAAUCGUAAUACAAAUUAGUACAUAUUAUAAUAUAAGAGUUUUGCAGGGACCUUCCAAUUUAAGGUCAUUACACCCAAUACGUUAUUUUAACCAGUGUCAUUAUAAACGGUUUCUACUGUAUUGUAUAUCUAAUCAUAUUAGGUACAUAUUUUAUUUUGUUAAAUUUAACUGAUUCGAAUCAAUGCUGUAACAUCAUACACGUCAUGUAUCCUUUUGGACAGACAUAAGCAUGUCAAUAGCAUGGUUCUAGUAUUGACAACUAUACGACAUUCCGUCGUAGCAGUGUCAAAAAUACAUCGUUGUGAUCAGUGAAUACUUACAUAUACAGGGUAAAUAUAGUUUUUCUAUAUCGAGUAAUUUUAAUUGUUCUACAUUUUCAAUUUUGUGAAAUAUAUAUUAUUUACUGAUCUUAUACGGGGGGCCAAUGGUUGAAAAACGGCUGAUUUUUAAUCAUUUUAAUGCCGAGUUACGUGAAAAAUAUAUUAAUUUAAUGGCUAAAUACAAUUUAUUGGACACCAAAUCAUUUGUAAAGGGGCCACUAUUCGCUCAUUGUCGAUUUAAUAAAUGUUAAGUAAUGUUCAUGUGCGACCCUUUAUACGUGUACCUACUAUAAGUUGUUAAAUAUUAAAAGGUUUCAUUUUAUAAUAGUAAAAAUUACGAGAAAUAAAAUCUAAAACUUAUUUACGUAUGCCGUCAUUCCGAUAUGUCUUUAUACCAAUAAAGUUCUCUCAAAAAGCUUUUUAUGGGUAAAACAAUAUGUUGCCCUAAUUUCUCACUUUUUUUUAGUUAAUUAUUUUUUCUAAAAACACCACGUGCCUACCGUAACUGCUAAUAAUUUAACAUGACUAGCCGCGCAAACGCCUCACAAUACUGUAAUAGAAUAUUUAGAAACGAAUGAGAAAAUUUAAACUCGCGACACUGUUACACUAUUAUACAUACGUUACUUAUUUAAAACGUCCGUGCCAGACCGUUUCUCACGGAAACACGCUGCAAUCACAUAACAGACGUCGAGCGAGUUCAUCGUCGUCCCGAGGAUCCUACGUGCCUCCCCUCCACAAUAAUUCCUACGAAAGCCCUCGCCGACGUCCCAGCGUGUGUACCACCCGUUGGACUAGACGACCCGGUGGCGCGCGGCGGCGGCGGUCCCCAACGCGGUUUAUAAUCCGUCCGGUCGUUUAAAACCGUGUGCGCUUGGUGCGACAAAUCAGAUGGCUGUCCGACUCGUCGCCGGCAACAAGUAAUGUAAAACGAUGAAAAUAUAAUAUAUAGUAUUAUACUGUUAUACGCGUUAUAGCCUAUUAAAGGUAGACUAUUGAAAUUCCUAUACCAGUGCAGAUGACCUGUAGAACAUCGGCGUCCAAAGAGGAAGACAACUGCAUUGAUUGGAUCGACCUUGAAGACGUUCGAGAUCAAGAAAAAAUUUGGCUAAAAAGGAUGUUGUCAACUGAUAAGUUUCUUGUACCAGGAAAUGAAGAACAGAAAACAACCAGCGUUGUAUUUGAAGCACCAAUGUCUGAAUUAAAAGGUACCUAUAAUUACAAAUUUGAUUUAUUACAAAAAAAAUUAUUAACUAGGUCGUAAUGCAUUUGUAUAAUUUUCACAAAUACAAGUAAUUUUAUUUGGUUCAA